AUACCCAGGUGCUCCAUGCUAAGAUGGAACCACACCGAUCCAUCCCGAACUCGGUUGUGAAACGUCUUAGGGGCUAAAAUACUUAUCGGGGAGCUGAUAGGAAAAUUUAGUCUAGUGCCAGGGUG
rnacentral:rRNA from 1 species